GACGAACGCUGGCGGCGUGCUUAACCCAUGCAAGUCGAACGGAGUGGCGAACGGGUGAGUAACACGUGGGUGAUCUGCCUUGCACUUCGGGAUAAGCUUGGGAAACUGGGUCUAAUACCGGAUAGUGCAAGAUUAGCUCGCGGCCUAUCAGCUUGUUGGUGGGGUAAUGGCCUACCAAGGCGUCGAAGGGUAGCCGGCCUGAGAGGGUGUACGGCGACAUUGGGACUGAGGUGCGGCCCAGACUGGUACGGGGGGGAGCAGUGGGGAAUAUUGCACAAUGGGCGGAAGCCUGAUGCAGCGACGCCGCGUGGGGGAUGAAGGCCUUCGUGGUGUAAACUCCUGUCGACAGGGACGCGGUACCUGAAUAAGAAGCCCCGGCUAAAUACGUGCCAACCGCCGCGGUAAUAC
rnacentral:rRNA from 1 species